rnacentral:rRNA from 1 species
UACGUAGGGGGCAAGCGUUGUCCGGAAUCAUUGGGCGUAAAGAGCGUGUAGGCGGUCCGGUAAGUCGGCUGUGAAAGUCCAGGGCUCAACCCUGGGAUGCCGGUCGAUACUGCCGGACUAGAGUUCGGAAGAGGCGAGUGGAAUUCCCGGUGUAGCGGUGAAAUGCGCAGAUAUCGGGAGGAACACCGAUGGCGAAGGCAGCUCGCUGGGACGUUACUGACGCUGAGAAGCGAAAGCGUGGGGAGCAAACAGG